AUUGAACGCUGGCGGCAUGCCUUACACAUGCAAGUCGAACGGCAGCACGGGUGCUUGCACCUGGUGGCGAGUGGCGAACGGGUGAGUAAUGCAUCGGAACGUACCCGGAAGUGGGGGAUAACGUAGCGAAAGUUACGUUAAUACCGCAUAUUCUGUGAGCAGGAAAGAGGGGGCUCGUAAGACCUCUCGCUUUCGGAGCGGCCGAUGUCGGAUUAGCUAGUUGGUGGGGUAAAGGCUUACCAAGGCGACGAUCCGUAGCGGGUCUGAGAGGAUGAUCCGACACACUGGGACUGAGACACGGCCCAGACUCCUACGGGAGGCAGCAGUGGGGAAUUUUGGACAAUGGGCGCAAGCCUGAUCCAGCCAUGCCGCGUGAGUGAAGAAGGCCUUCGGGUUGUAAAGCUCUUUUGUCAGGGAAGAAAUACUCUGGGUUAAUACCCUGGGGUGAUGACGGUACCUGAAGAAUAAGCACCGGCUAACUACGUGCCAGCCGCCGCAGUAAAAC
rnacentral:rRNA from 1 species